rnacentral:miRNA from 1 species
AUCUAAGUUUGUUAUUGGUGUGAGCUUUCAUGUGCAUGCACACUUCUUCAGAUACUUCUACAGAUACUUCUUCAGAUACGCUUCUUCAGUAUCUGAAGAAGUGUGCAUGCACACGAAAGCUCACACCAAUAACAAACUUAGUUGG